rnacentral:rRNA from 1 species
UGGGACCACUGGCCCGCCCGUCCUGCCCGCCGGGGGGCGGGCCGUUGGGCAUGGGGGGCCUAGGGAGGCAGCAGUGGGUGCACAUGGGGGGCUGAUGCAGCCAUGCCGCGUGUGUGAAGAAGGCUCCGGGUUGUAAAGCACUUUCAGCGAGGAGGAAAGGUUGAUACCUAAUAUGUAUCAGCUGUGACGUUACUCGCAGAAGAAGCACCGGCUAACUCCGUGCCAGCAGCCGCGGUAAUACGGAGGGUGCAAGCGUUAAUCGGAAUUACUGGGCGUAAAGCGCACGCAGGCGGUUGGAUAAGUUAGAUGUGAAAGCCCCGGGCUCAACCUGGGAAUUGCAUUUAAAACUGUCCAGCUAGAGUCUUGUAGAGGGGGGUAGAAUUCCAGGUGUAGCGGUGAAAUGCGUAGAGAUCUGGAGGAAUACCGGUGGCGAAGGCGGGCCCCCUGGAACAAAGACUGACGCUCAGGUGCGAAAGGCGUGGGGAGCAAGACAGGCAAUUAGAUACCCUGGAUAGUCCAACGCCAGUUAUAACGAGCGUUCGCCUGGACACGCUUCGUGUCAUGAGACCGUAGCUUGCGGGAGGCUACGGAUUGAUCAGCGUAGGGGAUCUUA